AAUGAUAAAAAUUUUAUUAUUUCAGCAAAAAUAUAAUAAACCAUUUCUAGCGAUAUGAUUAUGUAAACCAUAAGGCUGCGAAGGGGUCUAAUUG
rnacentral:snoRNA from 1 species